GAUGAACGCUGGCGGCGUGCCUAAUACAUGCAAGUCGAGCGAACGGACGAGAAGCUUGCUUCUCUGAUGUUAGCGGCGGACGGGUGAGUAACACGUGGCUAACCUACAUAUAAGACUGGGACAACUUCGGGAAACCGGAGCUAAUACCGGAUAAUAUUUUGAACCGCAUGGUUCAAAAGUGAAAGACGGUCUUGCUGUCACUUAUAGAUGGAUCCGCGGUGCAUUAGCUAGUUGGUAAGGUAACGGCUUACCAAGGCAACGAUGGAUAGCCGGCAUGAGAGGGUGACCAGGCACAAUGGGACUGAGACACGAGCAAGAGUGAUACGGGGGGAAGCAGUGGGGAAUAGUGCAAAAUGGGAGGAAGGGUGAAGCAGCGACGCAGCGUGAGAGAUGACGGCCUUCGGGUUGUAAACGUCUUUAAGGAGGGAAGAAGAGAAAGUGACGGUACCUGCAGAAGAAGCAACGGCUAACUACGUG
rnacentral:rRNA from 1 species